AUUGAACGCUGGCGGCAGGCCUAACACAUGCAAGUCGAACGAGUGGCGGACGGGUGAGUAAUGUCUGGGAAACUGCCCGAUGGAGGGGGAUAACUACUGGAAACGGUAGCUAAUACCGCAUACCAUCGGAUGUGCCCAGAUGGUAUUAGCUAGUGGGUGGGGUAACGGCUCACCUAGGCGACGAUCCCUAGCUGGUCUGAGAGGCUGACCAGACACACUGGAACUGAGACACGGUCCAGAAGCUUACGGGAGGCAGCAGUGGGGAAGAUUGCACAAUGGGCGCAAGCCUGAUGCAGCCAUGCGGCGUGUAUGAAGAAGGCAUUCGGGUUGUAAAGUACUUUCAGCGAGGAGGCGUUACUCGCAGAAGAAGCACCGGCUAACUCCGUGCCAGCAGCCGCGGUAAUUC
rnacentral:rRNA from 1 species